UUUAAUUUUUUUAUUUACAAGGGUUUCAAAUUUGAUUAUAGUUUUAAGUAGAGCUAAGAUGGUGUUAUCUAUUAUUGAUUCAUAUAGUGGGCAAUGUUUUUUUACCCCGGCAGUGUAUUGUUUGUAUAAAUUUUGUUCCAGAAUAAUCGGCUAGACUUUAUAAACUUAUACUCUAAUUAAUGUUAAUUUAGAGUUAUUUCGGUAUUGAUUUUUAAUUUUAGGGUGAAAUCAGAAAUUAUUUUUAUUUAAACUCUAAAUUUUAAGAUUUAGUAAACAAACCAGAUUAGUACCUGGUUAGAUAAAAUUUAAAAGAGCAGGAGUAAAGUUAUAUUUAAACUGUAAGAAUAUUGGCAGGUUUUUAAAUUAUCUUUGGAGGCUGAGUAGUGAUUGAGAGCCCUCAUUUUCAACUUUUUCUUUAGGCGCAUGUAUGAUCGUUUAUUUUAUUCUUAAGGAUUGUAAUUUUAGUCUUUGCUAUAAAAAUAGAUAGAUAUCUGGCUUAUGAGAAAGAUUUAAUUUGGCCUACAAUAAUUUAAUUUUUGGAUUCUAGUUUUAGAGGCUAGAUGAAAUUGUAAAAGACAGUAAGUUGCUUUUAAUGGGUAGCUGAAGUUUAUUUAAAAACGGUACAAAUCAUCCAUCAAUUGCCUAUAGGGGAGUAAGUUGUAGUAAAGUAGAGGUAGGGGAACCUGUCUCUAGUAAUUUUUU
rnacentral:ncRNA from 1 species